rnacentral:lncRNA from 1 species
ACGUGACAGUAGUGUGACCCUACGGUCCAUGGAGGACAUAUGGAGAUCAUUAUGACUCUAUUGCCCGAUUUUGGCCUGGCCAGCUAGGAUCGGAUUUCAGGGGCGUUACAGUUGCUCACACAUGCACAUGCAUGGUUUGGGAGAUAACUAGGCUGUCAUGUGUGCAUGUUGUUGCAGUGAUUAGGCGAAGGAGAGAGCCAUGGGUGAAGUAAGUAUAAAUUGUAAUUUCUUAAUCAUUUUCUAAUAAUUAUUUUUUGAUAAUCUUGUACUUAACUAUUUCUUACUUGUGCACAGGUAUUGCAGUCCAUAUUACAGUGUAGAAAGGUUUAGAGCUACUUAUGAAGGGUUCAUUUAUCCAAUUGAUAAUGAAAAAGAUUGGGACAAGGUAAGUGUUGGUUACAAAUUCUAAUUAAGUAGGGGAUUACAUCUUUAAUUAUGUUGUAGAUUGCUAAUUAAGACAAACAAUAUUCUGUUGUUUAGGUUGGUCAAAAUGAGAAGGUUCUACCUCCUCCCUAUACUGCACAACCAGGUAGACCUAAGACUCUGAGGAUAAAGGGCGAUGAUGAAGAUUUACCUUCAUCAAACAGAAGGUGCAAGACAUGUGGACAAGCUAAUCAUAAUUCUAGGACGUGCCUUUAGAGAAAAAAUCUUGGUGAGAAGGAAUACAAGAAGAGUAAAAACAAGAGGAAGAAAAACAACAAUUAUGGUGAGGCUUAUGUGCAGCAUAAGAAGAAAAUGCCAAAGCUUGGGGGGUGGAAAUGCAGGUUCAAGUGCAGCUGGAAAUGUUGGUUCAAGUGCAGCUAGAAAUGCAGGUUCAAGUGCAGCUGGCAAUGUAGGUUUAAAUGAAGCUGGAAAUGUUGGAUCAAGUGUAGCUAGAAAUCCAGGUUCAAGUGCAGCUGACAAUGCAAGUUCAAGUGCAGCUGGAAAUGAUGGAGGUGGUUCCUUGCAUCUGACAUGCAGAUAUGGGCAUAGUGAUGUUGUGUGGCCUUCAUCCUUACAUAGUUGGCACCUGGUCUGUAUAGAAAAAGUACAAAAAAUUAGAAUGUAGUACUACCUGUUUCUUUAGUAUUUAGGGUUCGGUACAAUUUCUGCCAUCAAUGAGUAUGGAUGCUUACCUCAGGGACAAAAAUUACAGUUGUCUUGAAGUUUGUUGAAUUUGCUGUCAUUUUUCUUCUUUAUGUUGUUGAAUAGAAAUAAAGUAGUA